rnacentral:snoRNA from 1 species
UCUCAGUGAUGUACAAAUAUAUGAUGACGAGUCCGAUUGAAUCCAUUCUUUUAAAAUCGUGACGACAAACGAGGCAUUUGUCUGAGAGGA